GCGCUCAUGGAGAGUCUCCAUCCAGCAGGAUCUCUGUCUCAGUGAAACCAUCAACCACUGCUCCGACCACAUUCCUUUCUCCUUCACCUUCCUCCCAUCCAUCUCCUCCCUACCUGCUCCUGUCUCUUCCAUUUGUCAUGGUUGUGGUUCUGCUGCUGGUUCUGGUUCUGAUGGUGAGACGAUGUGUUCAGAGAAAGUCUGAAGGUGAUCCAGAAGGAGGAGAGGACAACAUCACUGACAGCUACGUCAACAUUUCUCAUCAACAGAAAAACAAAGUCAACAAAGCUUCCAGGCAGCUGUGCUUCACUACUGUUCUGUACAUCGACAUGAAGGAAGAAGAAAAUAAUUUAAUCUUUACUCCUGGACAGACAAUAAAAUGUUUUUGUGAGUGAAACUAGCUUCACUGAAGAAGGAAAAAACAUAAAUUGUCGUCUAUAGAUUCAAUAAGCCCGACCACUUCCUUUUACAAUCUGUAAACAUUAUAAAGUUGUGCUCAGUUGGAUUUCUGCUUCUGUUCUUCCAA